AUGAUGAGAAAAAGUAUCAUUUUAUAAAAGGUUAGAACCUGAAUGUAAGUGAAGAUUUAUACUAGGGCGGACUGAUUUA